rfam:Populus trichocarpa scaffold_10_contig_281, whole genome shotgun sequence.
UUGUUUGCAGGUGCAGCAUCAUCAAGAUUCACAUUCAAACAGAUGUACGGCAGCUAGCUAGCUAGAUAGAUAGACAGCAAUGUAUUUCUUUGAAGGUGAGAAUCUUGAUGAUGCUGCAUCAGCCAUAAA